AGCCGCCUCUGCUGCUGCUGGAGCCCCCUCUCGGCCCUCCUCCUCCUCCUCCCUGGCGGGCCAGUCCAGCUGUGUUCCAUUAGUGUCCCUGGCAGGUCCCCAGCCCCCUGGAACCGCCCCUCUUCCCCCACCCGGAGUGGCCGGCAGUCCCCGGCAGGCGUGCGCCGGGCCGCAGACAGCCGGGAGAGCUCCAGAGAGUGUCAGGAAGCUGGGGACCUGUGACUGUCAGGGAGAGAUGGAGAACCCCCAGCGGGCCUGAGGAACCCAGCCUCUGCUUCCUCCGGCUGCUGCCUGCACUGCUCAGCGAGGUGGGGGGAUCCCCGGCCACCGGUGCUGUGGCUGUAGCCGACCUCUUUGGACCAGGAUGUGGGUAUCCUGGGCUCCUGGCCUGUGGCUGCUCGGUCUUUGGGCUACCUUCAGCCAUGGGGCAAAUACAGGUGCACAUUGCCCACCUUCACAGCAGGAAGGACUCAAAUUGGAACACAGUAGUAGCCUGCCAGCCAAUGUGACUGGCUUCAACCUCAUCCGUCGACUCAGCCUCAUGAAGAUGUCUGCCAUCAAGAAGAUCCGCAACCCCAAGGGGCCUCUCAUCCUGCGCCUGGGGGCGGCCUCCGUGACCCAGCCUACGCGACGAGUAUUCCCUCGGGGCCUCCCGGAGGAGUUUGCCCUGGUGCUGACACUACUGCUGAAGAAACACACCCACCAGAAGACGUGGUAUCUGUUUCAAGUGACCGAUGCAGAUGGGUAUCCACAGAUUUCCCUGGAAGUCAACAACCAAGAGCGGAGCCUGGAGCUCAGGGCCCAGGGCCAGGAUGGCGACUUUGUGUCCUGCAUCUUCCCAGUGCCCCAGCUCUUCGACCUGCGUUGGCACAAGCUGAUGCUGAGUGUGGCUGGACGUGUGGCCUCUGUGCACGUGGACUGCAGCUCAGCCUCCUCCCAGCCUCUGGGGCCCCGGCGACCGCUGAGGCCUGUGGGCCAUGUAUUUCUAGGCUUGGACGCUGAGCAGGGCAAGCCUGUCUCGUUUGACCUUCAGCAGGUGCACAUCUACUGUGACCCGGAGCUCGUGCUGGAGGAGGGCUGCUGUGAGAUUUUACCGGCAGGGUGCCCCCCAGAGACCUCCAAGGCCCGCCGGGAUACCCAGAGCAAUGAGCUCAUUGAGAUCAAUCCACAGUCUGAAGGCAAGGUCUACACCCGCUGUUUCUGCCUGGAGGAACCUCAAAACAGCCAGGUGGAUGCCCAGCUAACGGGAAGAAUCAACCAGAAGGCAGAAAGGGGAGCAAAGGUCCAUCGGGAGACAGCAGCCGAUGAGUGUCCACCCUGUGUCCAUGGUGCCCAGGACAGCAAUGUGACACUUGCUCCCUCUGGCCCCAAGGGAGGGAAAGGUGAGCGGGGCCUGCCUGGUCCACCAGGCUCCAAGGGAGAGAAGGGAGCACGGGGCAAUGACUGUGUUCGAAUCUCCCCGGAUGCCCCACUUCAGUGUGCAGAAGGCCCAAAGGGAGAGAAGGGGCAGUCAGGAGCUCUGGGACCCUCAGGACUCCCAGGCUCAACAGGCGAGAAGGGCCAGAAAGGCGAGAAGGGCGACGGAGGCCUCAAGGGUGUGCCGGGAAAGCCAGGCCGGGACGGCCGGCCAGGAGAAAUCUGUGUCAUUGGGCCCAAAGGGCAGAAGGGAGACCCUGGCUUUGUUGGGCCUGAGGGGCUGGCAGGAGAGCCCGGACCCCCUGGCCUCCCUGGACCCCCUGGGAUAGGACUGCCUGGGACCCCGGGGGAUCCAGGUGGUCCACCAGGCCCUAAGGGAGACAAGGGCAGCUCUGGGAUCCCAGGAAAGGAAGGCCCUGGUGGGAAACCUGGGAAACCAGGUGUGAAGGGAGAGAAGGGUGACCCCUGUGAAGUGUGCCCAACACUGCCUGAAGGGUUCCAGAGCUUUGUCGGACUCCCUGGAAAGCCAGGGCCCAAAGGGGAGCCUGGUGAUCCUGUAUCAGCCAGAGACCACCCGAAAACUGUCGGACAAAAAGGCGACAGGGGAGACCCUGGCAUCCAAGGCAUCAAAGGAGAGAAGGGGGAGUCCUGCUUGUCCUGCAGCUCGGUUGUAGGGGCCCAGCAUCUUGCAUCCUCCACAGGGGCCAGUGGAGAUGUGGGCUCCCCUGGCUUUGGUCUGCCUGGCCUUCCGGGGAAAGCUGGGUUGCCAGGGCUGAAAGGAGAGAAGGGUAACUUCGGGGAGGCAGGGCCAGCUGGCAGUCCAGGGCCACCAGGACCAGUGGGACCAGUAGGCAUCAAAGGGGCGAAGGGGGAGCCCUGUGAGCCGUGUCCAGCCCUGUCCAACCUUCAGGAUGGGGAUGUCCGUGUGGUGGCCUUGCCUGGCCCAUCCGGAGAGAAGGGGGAACCUGGGCCUCCAGGCUUUGGCUUGCCAGGAAAACAGGGCAAGGCUGGAGAGCGUGGACUGAAGGGGCAGAAGGGUGAUGCUGGGAAUCCCGGAGACCCUGGAACGCCGGGAACCACAGGGCGGCCAGGACUGUCAGGAGAGCCUGGAGUUCGAGGCCCUGCGGGGCCAAAAGGAGAAAAGGGUGAUGGCUGCACUGCCUGCCCCAGCCUGCAGGGGACAGUGACAGAUGUGGCAGGACGGCCUGGGCAGCCCGGCCCCAAAGGAGAACCGGGUCCCGAAGGCGUGGGCCGACCUGGUAAACCCGGCCAACCCGGUCUACCAGGAGUUCAAGGGCCCCCAGGUCUGAAGGGCAUGCAGGGAGAGCCAGGGCCUCCAGGAAGGGGAGUCCAGGGACCCCAGGGGGAGCCUGGAGCCCCGGGUUUGCCUGGCAUUCAGGGACUUCCGGGACCUCGGGGACCACCUGGCCCCACUGGAGAGAAGGGUGCCCAGGGAUCUCCAGGGGUGAAAGGAGCCACCGGACCCGUGGGACCUCCUGGGACCAGUGUCUCUGGGCCUCCAGGCCGUGAUGGGCAGCAAGGACAGACGGGACCCAGAGGGACACCAGGUGAAAAGGGACCACGAGGAGAGAAGGGUGAGCCAGGGGAGUGCUCCUGCCCCUCUCGAGGAGACCUCGUCUUCUCUGGCAUGCCGGGUGCUCCGGGACUUUGGAUGGGCAGCUCCUGGCAGCCGGGCCCGCAGGGUCCACCAGGUAUUCCUGGACCACCAGGCCCCCCUGGAGUGCCCGGGCUGCAGGGAGUGCCUGGAAACAACGGUUUGCCAGGACAGCCUGGGCUCACUGCGGAACUGGGAUCCUUACCAAUUGAACAGCACCUCCUUAAGAGUAUCUGCGGGGACUGUGUCCAGGGGCAGAGGGCCCACCCAGCAUACCUCGUGGAGAAGGGAGAGAAGGGAGACCAGGGCAUCCCUGGUGUGCUAGGCCUCGACAACUGCGCCCAGUGCUUUUUGUCGCUGGAGCGCCCAAGAGCCGAGGAGGCCCGGGGCGACAACAAUGAGGGAGAUCCCGGAUGCAUUGGGAGCCCAGGCCUGCCUGGUCCUCCGGGAUUGCCAGGCCAGAGAGGAGAAGAGGGUCCGCCUGGCAUGAGGGGCUCCCCGGGUCCUCCAGGCCCUAUUGGCCCCCCAGGUUUUCCUGGUGCUGUUGGCUCCCCCGGAUUGCCUGGCCUUCAAGGAGAGCGAGGCCUCACAGGCCUGACUGGAGACAAGGGGGAGCCGGGUCCUCCAGGGCAACCAGGUUACCCGGGUGCCAUGGGCCCCCCAGGACUGCCUGGCAUCAAGGGGGAACGUGGCUACACCGGGUCAGCGGGAGAGAAAGGAGAGCCGGGCCCCCCAGGAUCUGAAGGCCUCCCGGGCCCCCCAGGCCCAGCGGGUCCCAGAGGAGAGCGAGGACCCCAAGGGAACUCGGGUGAGAAGGGCGACCAGGGAUUUCAAGGCCAGCCAGGCUUUCCGGGCCCACCGGGUCCCCCUGGAUUCCCAGGCAAAGUUGGAGCACCUGGCCCACCUGGCCCUCAAGCAGAGAAGGGCAGUGAAGGGAUUCGAGGCCCAUCAGGCAUGCCUGGUUCCCCUGGGCCACCGGGACCUCCUGGGAUUCAGGGCCCCGCCGGUCUGGAUGGUCUGGAUGGGAAGGACGGCAAGCCUGGCUUGAGGGGGGACCCUGGUCCUGCUGGCCCCCCUGGACUCAUGGGACCACCGGGCUUCAAGGGGAAAACAGGACAUCCUGGCCUCCCAGGACCUAAGGGUGACUGUGGCAAACCAGGUCCCCCUGGCAGCACUGGCCGGCCUGGCGCAGAGGGUGAACCUGGUGCCAUGGGACCCCAGGGAAGACCUGGUCCCCCCGGCCACGUUGGGCCACCAGGGCCUCCAGGCCAGCCAGGACCCGCUGGGAUCUCUGCAGUGGGUCUAAAAGGAGACCGAGGAGCCACCGGAGAAAGGGGCCUUGCAGGCCUCCCAGGCCAGCCCGGCCCCCCUGGACACCCUGGCCCCCCGGGUGAACCUGGUACGGAUGGUGCAGCUGGCAAAGAGGGACCCGCUGGAAAGCAGGGACUCUAUGGACCUCCUGGUCCCAAGGGUGAUCCGGGAGCCGCAGGACAGAAGGGCCAGGCAGGAGAGAAGGGGAGAGCCGGCAUGCCUGGUGGGCCUGGCAAGAGUGGUUCCAUGGGGCCUGUUGGGCCACCAGGCCCUGCAGGAGAGAGAGGCCACCCUGGAGCUCCAGGGCCUUCAGGGAGCCCUGGCUUGCCUGGUGUGCCUGGCUCCAUGGGAGACAUGGUGAAUUAUGAUGAAAUCAAGAGGUUCAUCAGACAAGAGAUCAUUAAAAUGUUUGAUGAGAGAAUGGCUUACUACACCUCCAGGAUGCAGUUCCCCAUGGAGAUGGCGGCGGCUCCGGGACGACCAGGGCCCCCAGGGAAGGAUGGUGCUCCCGGCAGGCCAGGCGCUCCAGGGUCACCUGGGCUCCCUGGUCAGAUUGGCAGAGAAGGACGGCAGGGCUUGCCAGGAAUGAGAGGACUGCCUGGUACCAAAGGUGAAAAGGGGGACAUUGGUGUUGGCAUUGCAGGAGAAAACGGUCUUCCCGGCCCCCCAGGUCCUCAAGGUCCUCCAGGCUAUGGCAAGAUGGGCGCAACAGGACCAAUGGGCCAGCAAGGCAUCCCUGGCAUUCCUGGGCCCCCGGGUCCCAUGGGCCAGCCAGGCAAGGCUGGCCACUGUAGCCCCUCUGACUGCUUUGGGGCCAUGCCGAUGGAGCAGCAGUACCCACCCAUGAAAACCAUGAAGGGGCCUUUUGGCUGAAAUCACCACCUGCCUUUGGAUGAAGGACUCCGUUGGGAAUAAACGGCCAAAGCUUAUAGGACUCUGUGACAGAUCGCUUGUCCUGAUGGGCUGGAUGCCCUGCGAGAAAGCAACAAGGCACUUCCAGGGGGAUUUCCAAAGAAAGCUUUUGCACUGGCCCCAGUUAUCUGGAAGGUUUAUUCAAGUUGGAUACACUUCAAAGGACUCACAGAGCAGGCUCAGAAAUGUACCCAAAGUCUAGAUGCUUAUCCAAACUGCCUGAAGCCUUCAAACCGGCUGUCAAAUCUCUGCAGAGCUGGUAUUUCUAGCACAUUUCUGAAAAUUCCCUUCUCUAGUUGGGUCCCAAAUAACAGGAGACCAGCCUAUUGAUGGCUUUUCAGAACCUCUGCCCUGUUUUUUUUUUUUUUUUUUUUCCUGCCAGGAGCAAAGGUGUGCUGGUGGCCAGGAGAAUGAAAUCAGACUCCUGAGCACGCCCGAGUGUCUCAUGUGAUGUUUUUAGAUAAAGGAGGUGCUGAUUCUUUUUUCAUUUCUCCCCAGCUAUUCUCAGUUAACCCUGGUUCUAACAUAAAACAUUAAAAAGCAAAGGCAUCAUUUUUGCAUUGAAGUAGCGGCCAGGUUUUGGACAGUGGAAGAGGACAGAUGUUAAAGCACUCCCAUUGGAAGGCCAGCUUCCUCUUUCAGCCUAGUCUGCCGAGUACUAGCUGAUGAUAGGCCUUAUGAUGAGGAGCAUGUUGGCGCCGGCAGAAAGAAAGAGAAGCAAGGACCAGCUGUGGAAUUGAGCAGGUUGGCUUUGAAGACCAGAGGGGAAAAACUGCUAUGAGGAAAUAUCAAACUCAUCCCCUUUAAGGGUCACCAGGGAAUCGAUCCUUAUAGAGUAAAUGAUGCCUUCUUCACUUUUCUUCCUGAGUCAAAUUCAUGCUACUCUUAAGGGAUUCUACGACAGGCUAGGUUUAAGCUUUCACGAUUUGAAUGCAUGUCUCCCUGGAGUUUGAAAUUGCUGUAUUUUCUUGGACCAUGAAGAAACAGAUGGAAAGCUGAA